GGAACGCUACGGCAGGCUAAUACUGCAGAUUUCCAAACGGUGUCUUCGGACAUAGCCGGCGCACGUGGUGCGUAACACGUAUGCAACCUACCUUACAUUGGGGGAUAGCCUUUCGAGAGGGAGAUUAAUACCGCAUAAGACAGUAGCUGGGCAUCCAGCAGCUGUUAAAGAUUUAUCGAUGUAAGCUGGGCAUGCGUCCAAUUAGCUAGUUGGUGAGGUAAUGGCUCACCAAGGCAAUGAUUGGUAGGGGAACUGACGAGGUCAAAUCCCCCACACUGGCACUGAGAUACGGGCCAGACUCCUACGGGAGGCAGCAGUAAGGAAUAUUGGGCAAUGGACGCAAGUCUGACCCAGCCAUGCCGCGUGCAGGAUGAAGGCGUUAUGCGUUGUAAACUGCUUUUAUACAGGAAGAAACGACUCUUGCGAGAGGCAUUGACGGUACUGUAUGAAUAAGCACCGGCUAACUACCGUGCCAGACAGCCGCGGUAAUAACGGACGGGUGCAAGCGUUGUCCGGAUUUAUUCGGGUUUAAAGGGUGCGCAGGUGGUACAUUAAGUCAGUGGUGACAGACCGCGUACGCUACAACGAUUGCAAGUGCCAUUGAAAACUGGUAAACUUGAG
rnacentral:rRNA from 1 species